CUUCUCGUGGUGUAGUUGGCAACGCGCCUGUCUAGUGAGUAGGAGUCGUGAGUUGGAGUCUCACUGAGAGGA
rfam:Aedes albopictus isolate Foshan contig119377, whole genome shotgun sequence.